UGCGAAAUCAGCCUCACUCUGCACUGCAGGGCUGGAGUCCAACAGGUCCACAGCAGAAAUCCUGCCCGUCCAUGUUCUGCCCCAGCGGAAGUGAGCCAGGUGCCUGCGUCUACUGCUCCCACAGCCGUGAAGUACAACACGUCAUUAAAACCCCGGGUGUGA
rnacentral:lncRNA from 1 species